UGAGGAAUAUUGGUCAAUGGGCGAGAGCCUGAACCAGCCAAGUAGCGUGCAGGACGACGGCCCUAUGGGUUGUAAACUGCUUUUAUGCGGGGAUAACCGGCCUCACGUGUGAGGCCCUGCAGGUACCGCAUGAAUAAGGACCGGCUAAUUCCGUGCCAGCAGCCGCGGUAAUACGGAAGGUCCGGGCGUUAUCCGGAUUUAUUGGGUUUAAAGGGAGCGUAGGCCGUGGGUUAAGUGUGUUGUGAAAUCCGGUUGCUCAACAUCCGGUUUGCAGCGCAUACUGUCUCACUUGAGUGCGCACAACGCAGGCGGAAUUCGUCGUGUAGCGGUGAAAUGCUUAGAUAUGACGAGGAACCCCGAUUGCGAAGGCAGCUUGCGGGAGCGCAACUGACGCUUAAGCUCGAAGGUGCGGGUAUCAAACAGG
rnacentral:rRNA from 1 species